rnacentral:rRNA from 1 species
AACGAACGCUGGCGGCGCGCUUAAUACAUGCAAGUCGAACGAGAAGGUGUAGCAAUACACUUGUAAAGUGGCGAACGGGUGAGGAAUACAUGGGUAACCUACCCUCGAGUGGGGAACGAACCAGCCGAAAGGUUGGCUAAUACCGCGUACGCUUCCGGGUCUUCGGAUUCGGAAGGAAAGUCAUACCGUGGGUAUGACGCUCAAGGAUGGGCUCAUGUCCUAUCAGCUUGUUGGUAGGGUAACGGCCUACCAAGGCUCCGACGGGUAGCUGGUCUGAGAGGACGAUCAGCCACACUGGCACUGCGACACGGGCCAGACUCCUACGGGAGGCAGCAGUAAGGAAUAUUGCGCAAUGGGCGAAAGCCUGACGCAGCGACGCCGCCGUGGGGGA